CCUACGGGGGGCAGCAGUGGGGAAUAUUGCGCAAUGGGCGAAAGCCUGACGCAGCGACGCCGCGUGAGGGAUGAAGGUCUUCGGAUCGUAAACCUCUGUCAGCAGGGAAGAACGGUCACUGUGCUAAUCAGCAGUGAAUUGACGGUACCUGCAAAGGAAGCACCGGCUAACUCCGUGCAAGCAGCCGCGGUAAUACGGAGGGGGCGAGCGUUAGUCGGAAUUACUGGGCGUAAAGCGCUCGUAGGCGGUAUGUCAAGUCAAGGGUGAAAUCCUCGGGCUCAACGUGGGAACUGCGUUUGAAACUGGCAAACUGGAGUGUGUGAGAGGAUAGUGGAAGUCCGGGUGUAGGGGUGAAAUCCGUAGAUAUCUGGAGGAACAUCAGUGGCGAAGGCGACUAUCUGGCACAUAACUGACGCUGAGGCUCGAAAGCGUGGGGAGCAAACAGGAUUAGAUACCCCAGUAGUC
rnacentral:rRNA from 1 species